rnacentral:rRNA from 1 species
UACGUAGGGUGCGAGCGUUAAUCGGAAUUACUGGGCGUAAAGCGUGCGCAGGCGGUUCGUUAUGUCUGAUGUGAAAGCCCCGGGCUCAACCUGGGAAUUGCAUUGGAAACUAGCGGGCUGGAGUGUGGCAGAGGGGAGUGGAAUUCCACGUGUAGCAGUGAAAUGCGUAGAGAUCCGGAGGAACACCAGUGGCGAAGGCGACACGCUGGGCCGUACCUGACACUGAUGCGCGACAGCAUGGGGAGCAAACAGG